rnacentral:rRNA from 1 species
GAUGAACGCUAGCGGCAGGCCUAAUACAUGCAAGUCGGACGGGAUUUGGGAGCUUGCUCCUAAUGAGAGUGGCGCACGGGUGCGUAACACGUAUGUAACCUACCUUAAUCAGGGGGAUAGCCUCUCGAAAGAGAGAUUAACACCGCAUAAUAUAUUUUUAUGGCAUCGUAGAAAUAUCAAAUAUUUAUAGGAUUAAGAUGGGCAUGCGGAACAUUAGCUAGUUGGUAAGGUAACGGCUUACCAAGGCUACGAUGUUUAGGGGAUCUGAGAGGAUGACCCCCCACACUGGUACUGAGACACGGACCAGACUCCUACGGGAGGCAGCAGUAAGGAAUAUUGGUCAAUGGGCGCAAGCCUGAACCAGCCAUGCCGCGUGCAGGAAGACGGCCCUAUGGGUUGUAAACUGCUUUUGUACCGGAAUAAACCCUUUUACGUGUAAGAGGCUGAAUGUACGGUAAGAAUAAGGAUCGGCUAACUCCGUGCCAGCCGCCGCAGUAA